CACCAUUGUGUGUUAUACUCAAUGGUUAACUUACUCACCAUUGCGUGUUAUACUCAAUGGUUAACUUACUCACCAUUGUGUGUUAUACUCAAUGGUUAACUUACUCACCAUUGUGUGUUAUACUCAAUGGUUAACUUACUCACCAUUGUGUGUUAUACUCAAUGGUUAACUUACUCACCAUUGUGUGUUAUACUCAAUGGUUAACUGGACAUCUUUAAGUGCUCGACGCCUCAGUCAUUGGUAUGUUUUCAUCUACAAAAGCAUUCUGGGUAUCACUCCAUCUUAUCUGUCUUGUCUUUUAACAAAGAAACAAGGAAGUCACAAUCUUCGUUCAAUGAAUGUUCUGCAAUUUGUCGUCCCCAAAGUAAGAACUGAACUGGGCAAGAAAGCAUUUAGGUUUUCAGCAGCGAAGGCUUGGAAUAACCUACAAUCCAAUCUUCAACUUCAAACCCUUGUUACGUUGAAUGAGUUUAGAGCUUCUGUGAAAGGAUUGCAGUCUACCUUGUCUGUAUGCACAUGUGUUAUGUCAGCAAGUUUUAAUGUCGUAAAUGUGAUGUUUUAUGUAUUUGUUUACUGUUUUUAAUGUAACCUUGCUGCUGCCCUCUUGGCCAGGUCUCCCUUGGAAAAGAGAUCUUUGAUCUCAAUGGGAUUUUACCUGGUUAAAUAAAGGCUAAUAAUAAUAAACAAGAAAAACUGAAUUUUACAUGACAAAUGUCACCAUUUUGCGUUAAACUAAUAAUUUUACAUGAAAAAGUCAUAAUUUUACAUGAAAAAGUCAUAUUUUGACAUGAAAAAGUUAUAAUUUCACAUGCAAAGUCAUAAUUUGACAUGAAAAAGUCAGAAUUUUACGAGAAAAACUUAGAAUGUUGGCAGUGUUGUAAUAAAAGUCGUCAUUUUACUCAACGCAAGUCCAAAUUUUUACAAGAAAAACUGAAUUUUACAUGACAAAUGUCACCAUUUUUCGUUAAACUAAUAAUUUUACAUGAAAAAGUCAUAAGUUUACAUGUAAAAGUCAUAAUUUUACAUGAAAAAGUCAUAAUUUUACAUAAAAAAAGUCAUAAUUUUACGAGAAAAACUUAGAAUGUUGGCAGUAUUAUAAUAAAAGUUGUCAUUUUACUCAACGCAAGUCCAAAUUUUUACAAGAAAAAACGGAACAUUUGUGCGAUAUUAUGAUAAAAGUUGGAAUUUUACUCAAUAACAGUCGCAAUUUUACAAGAAAAGCUUCAAAUUUUGGCAAUUUUAUGACAAGAGUGGUAAUUUUUCUCAACAAAAGUCACAAUUUUAUAAGAACACUUUAAAAUGUUGGCAACGUUAUAACAAUAAUGGGAAUUUUACUCGGCAAAAUGAUGACAGAAGUCAAUUAGAAAAAUCCCUCCUUUUUGGGACCGCCCUCAUUUUGACAGAUUUCACCACCAGGGGGUGCAAAUGAGACAUUUAUUGUUUAGUUUUUUGUAAUGUGCUUAAGGCCGAUGACAAAGGAGUCAGGGACCACAGAUGACAAAGGAGUCAGGGACCACAGAUGACAAAGGAGUCAGGGACCACAGAUGACAAAGGAGUCAGGGGCCACAGAGGACAAAGGAGUCAGGGACCACAGAUGACAAAGGAGUCAGGGACCACAGAUGACAAAGGAGUCAGGGACCACAGAUGACAAAGGAGUCAGGGGCCACAGAUGACAAAGGAGUCAGGGACCCCAGAUGACAAAGGAGUCAGGGACCACAGAUGACAAAGGAGUCAGGGACCACAGAUGACAAAGGAGUCAGGGACCACAGAUGACAAAGGAGUCAGGGACCACAGAUGACAAAGGAGUCAGGGACCACAGAUGACAAAGGAGUCAGGGGCCACAGAUGACAAAGGAGUCAGGGACCCCAGAUGACAAAGGAGUCAGGGACCACAGAUGACAAAGGAGUCAGGGACCACAGAUGACAAAGGAGUCAGUCAGGGACCACAGAUGACAAAGGAGUCAGGGACCACAGAUGACAAAGAGUCAGGGACCACAGAUGACAAAGGAGUCAGGGACCACAGAUGACAAAGGAGUCAGGGACCACAGAUGACAAAGGAGUCAGAGACCACAGAUGACAAAGGAGUCAGGGACCACAGAUGACAAAGGAGUCAGGGACCACAGAUGACAAAGGAGUCAGUCAGGGACCACAGAUGACAAAGGAGUCAGGGACCACAGAUGACAAAGGAGUCAGGGACCACAGAUGACAAAGGAGUCAGGGACCACAGAUGACAAAGGAGUCAGUCAGGGACCACAGAUGACAAAGGAGUCAGGGGGCCACAGAUGACAAAGGAGUCAGGGACCACAGAUGACAAAGGAGUCAGGCACCACAGAUGACAAAGGAGUCAGGGACCACAGAUGACAAAGGAGUCAGGGACCCCAGAUGACAAAGGAGUCAGGGACCACAGAUGACAAAGGAGUCAGGGACCACAGAUGACAAAGGAGUCAGGGACCACAGAUGACAAAGGAGUCAGGGACCACAGAUGGCUCCUGUGCCGCACUUUGGGCAACCCAGCUGUAGAAGCUAACUGUUAAUGGCCACUCUAGUCUUAGUACCAUAGUUCAUCCUAUGGUCACGUAUGGGACGCGGGUUGUCUUACGUCAGCACCGGACGUCGUAAAAUCAGCUGUUCACCUGGCGGGUUUUUUCGGGGACGAAUAGGGAAGUCCUUCUUUAGCUGCCGUCUCAAUUCAUCAUAUAUUGCUGCCUUUGCACCUGUCAAUGUUUACUUUUGUAUGCACAUUAAAUCAACUAAAAAUCCUGACUUUGGAGCAAUGUUCACGGACUCUAGUAUUUGUCUCUCUAUUAGAUGCAAUGGUUUUCCGUAUUGGGACCAUGAUUUAUGUCAUCACUUGUUCACACCUCCUCAUAUGGAAGCUACUUUUCCUUGUUGAUGUCUCAAGAAGGGUAGAACUACAAGAACACACCCCCUUACUAAGCAGUAGGGGUGUAACGCUACAUGAUGCAACAUUUGUAACUAGCAAACAUGAGGGCUAGCACGGACGGCUCAUUCUUUAUAAUAUAUGAAAACCUGCGGGCGCCAUUUUGAUAUUUUUCAUUUUCCAAAGCAUUAAGGGCUCCCCUCAAGUUUGGUGAUGAAAGGUCCCGGGGACCCAGACGGGUCUCGGUCAUUAAAGUCUUAAAAAUAUUUCAUAUAUUAUAUUUUUUUAUUUUUCUACUUUCAACAUUUGAAUAUCUAUUGAUCAAAUUUGGAUUUAUUUGUUGCCAUGACAUUUUUUUAUUUGUUUUAUUUACAGUAGGGAGGGGAUUCAUAUGGCUCCAUUCCUGGGUGGAUCUCGCGUGAGAGGAAGAGGGAUGCGGGAGAAUGUAGCCAAUUGUAGCGCUAUGCAAAUCCACCCUCCCCCUCAAGGCCCUGUAUCAGCCAGGAGGACACCACACAACACAACACAACACAACACAACACAACACAACACACACUCCAAGAGGAGAUGUCAUGUUUUAAUGCUGCUGGUGGACUUUCUUCUUCUGCAUCUAUUUACUCUUUCUACUUUGAAGCAAUGGAAUGCAAACAGUGAAGAAGAGCAGGAGAGCGACUCACAAGAAGGACUGCAGCCACAAUGAAUGAAUGAAUGAAUGAAUGCUACAGGAUGAGUCACCAUACUGGAGUGUUGCUAGGGGGAAAGCGGGAACCUGUAUUUUUGCAAUAAAGUUAUUACCGAUGCACCCCCACAGGGGGCAUAACCACCGUA